GGCCUGGUGGUCUAGUAGUAUGAUUCGCCCUUAGGGUUGACCAUUGUUGUCAUAUUGGGCGAGGUCCCGGGUUCAAUUCCCGGCCAGGCCC